rnacentral:rRNA from 1 species
UGGGGAAUUUUCCGCAAUGGGCGAAAGCCUGAUGGAGCAAUACCGCGUGGAGGAAGAAGGAUCGUGGUCCGUAAACUCCUUUUCUUAAGGAAGAAACAAUGACGGUACUUAAGGAAUAAGCACCGGCUAACUCUGUGCCAGCAGCCGCGGUAAUACAGGGGGUGCAAGCGUUGUCCGGAAUGAUUGGGCGUAAAGCAUCUGUAGGUGGUUUUUAAAGUCGACUGUUAAAUCCCAGAGCUCAACUUUGGUAGGGCAGACGAGCACUUAGAAACUUGAGUACGGUAGGGGUAGAGGGAAUUCUUAGUGGAGCGGUGAAAUGCACAGAGAUUAGGAAGAACACCAGUGGCGAAAGCGCUCUACUGGGCCGUGACUGACACUGAGAGAUGAAAGUUGGGGGAGCGAAAGGGAUUAGAUACCCCUGUAGU